CUGUGGCUUCAGCACAGGCCGUUCUCGAGGAACCUGACGAACUGGAACAGGCUCAUCCGGGCGUCCCGGCCGCCGCCGGCCGCGACGACCAUGGCGCGGCACGCGGCGGCGUCCUGCCUGACGCCGAGCCGCGCCAGGGCGCACUGCAGGUCCUCGGCGCCGAUGAAGCCGUCGCGGUCGGCGUCGAAGACGGCGAAGGCGCCCCGCACCUCGGCGAAGCUGGGCUCGUCGGCGUCGAAGAGCGCGGACACCUCGUCGCGGCCCAUGGCGGCCGCGAGGCCCUCGCCUUUCCCGGCCGCCGCG
rnacentral:misc_RNA from 1 species